rnacentral:antisense_RNA from 1 species
GACGCUUGCCCUUUUUUAGCCAGCGGGGUUACUGACGGCUUCUGUUGCACGCCCGGACCCGGACCCCGACCCGAGCGCCGCAAGAAAGUCCGCUGGAGUCUCGCGUAACUGGGCAGGACGCGACUUCUGACGAAGUGACAAUGGUCUAUGCAUAUAUUAAGUGAAUAUUUGAGAAUUUAAAUAUGCAAAGCGUGAGUACAGUGUUACCCUUAAAUUCACAUAUGCGCACUGAACCAGUCACCUCAUUUUUCGGUAAACGAAACCACCUAAAAUUAGGUGGUUUCUUAGUGCAACAUCGGGUUUGAGACUGCAGAAAACUAAGUCUGGAAAUUGGGCCAUUUGUUCCCCGGGGAGGCAGUGCUUUCCUUCCACUACCCCGUCGGUCGUUAUUUGGAACACCUGGCAUUUCACAUGGUCUUUGGCCAUGUGCCCCUGGCUUGAGAAAUUCCGUCAUGAAAAUCGACAAGUGUGGGUCAGAAAUAAGGGAGGACGACAGUUUCGUUCCUUCCAUUUCAUGUUUUAAAAUUUUUGUUUCAACUUGAUCAGGAUUCUUAUUUAGAAAAGUAUUUUCCCUCACAGUGCAGUCUUAAUUGCUGUGGAUUUGUGCAAAGCUAGAGAACUCAGGUUAACAUUUAUGCUCCUAGCAGGAGAGGCGGCAAGAGAUUUGAGUAUUUCAUUUUUGUACUUAUAGAAUUAUAACUAUUCAUUUGUGAUGAGCUGUCUUUUUAAUUUUGGUAUCUCAAGCUUGUUUUCCAGAGUUCAUGGAUGGAAAGCACCAGACGAGCAGAUGGCAUGGUGGAAAGAGCCUCCGAGAGGGAAUUGGGAUAACUGAGUUCCAGUCUUGAAUCACUUAUAGACUACUAUAUGUCUUCCUGAAUUGCAGUCUUCUUAUCUGCAAAGUGAGAACAAUAGAAUUUACUGUCCCUAGCACAUGGGGGGGUUGCUGAGAGGCCAAAAUGAGAGAUUGUACAUGCAGAACUCGAUGCGUGGCAUUAGAGCUGUAUGAGGCCGGGUGCAGUGGCUCACGCUUGUAAUCCCAGCAAUUGGGAAGGCCGAGGCUGGCGGAUUGCCUGAGGUCAGGAGUUUGAGACUAUCCUGGUCAACAUGAUGAAACCCUGUCUACUAAAAAUACAAAAACUAGGUCAGGCGCGGUGGCUCAUGCUUGUAAUCCCAGCACUUUGGGAGGCCGAGGUGGGCGGAUCACGAGGUCAGGAAAUCAAGACCAUCCUGGCUAACACGGUGAAACCCCGUCUCUACUAAAAAUACAAAAAAAAAAAUUAGCCGGGCGUGGUGGCGGGCGCCUGUAGUCCCAGCUACUCGGGAGGCUGAGGCAGGAGAAUGGCGUGAACCCGGGAGGCGGAGCUUGCAGUGAGCCGAGAUGGCGCCACUGCACUCCAGCCUGGGCGACAGAGCUAGACUCCGUCUC